rnacentral:rRNA from 1 species
GAUGAACGCUGGCGGCGUGCCUAAUACAUGCAAGUCGAGCGAACAGACGAGGAGCUUGCUCCUCUGACGUUAGCGGCGGACGGGUGAGUAACACGUGGAUAACCUACCUAUAAGACUGGGAUAACUUCGGGAAACCGGAGCUAAUACCGGAUAAUAUAUUGAACCGCAUGGUUCAAUAGUGAAAGACGGUUUUGCUGUCACUUAUAGAUGAAUCCGCGCCGCAUUAGCUAGUUGGUAAGGUAACGGCUUACCAAGGCAACGAUGCGUAGCCGACCUGAGAGGGUGAUCGGCCACACUGGAACUGAGACACGGUCCAGACUCCUACGGGAGGCAGCAGUAGGGAAUCUUCCGCAAUGGGCGAAGGCCUGACGGAGCAACGCCGCGUGAGUGAUGAAGGUCUUCGGAUCGUAAAACUCUGUUAUUAGGGAAGAACAAAUGUGUAAGUAACUAUGCACGUCUUGACGGUACCUAAUCAGAAAGCCACGGCUAACUACGUG